AACAGAUCAGCACCACAAACUAACAUAGCAUAAUGGAACCGUGUGAUUUCAACAAAGGUACGACCAAAAAGCAUCAGCUGUAUCUAAAUAAUCCUAUAAAACAGUAAAUAGCUAUGGCAGCAUCACCAAUAGUAAUUAACACACCACAGGCACUAAUCCGGGAAGUUUCUGCUAUACCUGAUCAUCCUUGAGGUAGAGGAUCAUCUUGGUACCCCUGCCAAGGGUCUCCCCAGAGGUAUCACGUGUGACGGUGAAGGAUCCACCAGCCUGAGACUCCCACACGUACUGCUCAUCGUCGUUGUGCUUGGUGGUCACAACAACUCUCUCAGCAACAAGGUAGGCAGAGUAGAAACCAACUCCAAACUGACCGAUCAUAGACACAUCAGCACCAGCAGCCAGAGCCUCCAUGAACUCCUUUGUUCCUGACCGUGCAAUGGUACCAAGGUUGUUCACGAGAUCUGACUUGGUCAUACCAAUACCACUGUCAAUGAUUGUCAGAGUGUUGGAGGCCUUGUCAGGAACAAUGUGGAUGAACAGCUCUGGCUGGGCAUCGAGCUUGCUCUUGUCCGUCAAGCUCUCAAACCUGAUCUUGUCCAAGGCCUGUCAAAGCCCACAAAAACAUUCAGGGUUGGAUUGAUACAUCAUUCAGUGCUUACAAAGUAAUUAAAUGAAACGUGCACAGCUUUCACUAUUAUUAUUUAUCAGGAGGUUAUUCUGUCAGAAUAGGGUAACAAGGUAUUUACUGCACUAAACACGAGUAACCACUACACACAAUCAAUUUAACCAUGUAGUUGUUGAAGCACCAACUACAAAGCCUUCUACCUUCCCAGCAUAAUCCAUUCUGACAUAGGAAGACCAGAUAAAUUUAUUUUGUCAAGACCAAUCAUGCUUGCAUUUGUACAUUCAAGAUUAGCACUGCAAUAAACACAAUUAACUGCAUCAACACGCAAUCAACUUAACCAUGUAGCUGUUGAAGCACGUACUACAAUAAACCAGCCUAGCAAAGAUUACAUUUAUCAAGAUCAAUCACGCUCUCACGGUUCUCGCUAGGGUUUCAGAUCGUUCAGAUUCGACAUAAACCUUGCAAGUACAGAUGCCACAGACACAGCCGAGAUCUGACAAAAUUACUAUUUACGACUUCAGAAGUACAGGUUGAUAUGUCGUGGAUUUAAGCUGAAUAGUCAACCACGAACUAGCACAAAACCCUAUAUAACCCCCUAUCACCAGAUCCGAAGUACGAUGCGGAACCCACCGAUCCAUUGAACGACACGAGGGCUUAGCGCACAGAUCUAGAGCCGCAAACAGAAGAGCACGAGCGGGUAGGGGGGAAACUUACAUCGGAGGAGUUGGAGAUGAGCUCCCGGAGGAAGAUCUCCUUGUUGGAGUAGAAGGUGUUGAUGAUGAGGGAGAGCAGCUGGUUGAUCUCCGCCUGGAAGGCGAACGUCUCCGUCUCCGAGGCCAUGGCGAGACCUUGCUUCCGAACGCGAGGAGAGGGCGGCGGCGCUUGGGAGGAGGCGACGAGGGUUUGGGGGAAACCGAGGGAGCCUGAGAUGAGAUGGGGAGGCGGCCAGGCGGGUGCCCUGUGGGGUGAUAUAUUGGGGGCGGGUUGACUGACUUCCCGUUGGGCCGAAGUCUUCUAGGCCCAGCCGUGCUGGGGCUGGAGGCCCCCGUGGCCCACGAGUCAGUGGGCGUUGUGUCUUUCUUUUUUCAGACUUGGAAGGUUCUAGAGCGAGGUGGGUUUAGAGCAUGAUUUACCUUACGAUUAACGGGCAGUUGGCAGGUCCAUCUACGAGCUCGUGUAUUGCCUGAUUUACGAAAGGUUUUUUGUUUUGAAAAAAAUAAGGAAGAGUCCAGUAUAAGAUUUGCACGAACUUUUUCUCGUGUUUUGAGUUGCGUUUGGGAGCUUUGAUAAUACGUCUGUCGACUGUCGUGAUCGCAAUAAUUUCCAAAUUCCGUGAAAUUUCUGCUCCGUUUAAGAACGGGAGAUAGUAGACACAGUCUCUAUUUAUCCAACUUGCAGGGAAGCUUCUGGAAGGAAAUAUAGGUGUACUUUACCAAAAGAUUACCAUGCAUCUAAUUGUCUUUCCAUUUUAGGAGUUCGUAACAACCACACUGAUAAUGAAUAUACAGAACGGCCAGUGAUGUGUCAAACAAACACAUUUCAGAUUACGUGAACCCUCCUACACACCGCUAUAAACCAAUUUUGACGUGAAUCCUUUUUAGCCCUAUGCAGUUUGUAUCCUCGGAAAAAAAAAAAGCAAAAGAAAAAAAAAAGAAUAUAAUCAUAUAGUAGACUUAUUUUGCAAUAGCUUAUAAUUCAAUGUACUUAUAGCUGAAUGCUAAGGGGGUGUUUGGUUCCACCUUGCUAAACUUUAGUUGCUAAGCAACUUUUAGCUGCUAAACUGUCAAACACCCUUGCUAAAACUUGCUAAAGUUGAAUACUUUACCAAGUUUUUAGUUGCUAAAACUUGCUAAAAGGUGGGCUGGACAACCUAUUACCCCUCAUUUAUUGCUUGUCUCCCCCUCCUACGCACCUUUAAUAAGGGUAGAUAGGUCUUUUUACAGGUUAUUAAAUACCUUUUAGCAAUAGUAUCCAAACAGAUUUUGCUAAAGUUUAGCAACUAAAGUUUAGCAAAAUUUAGCUGCUAAACUUUAGCAAAAGUAACAAACAGGGCCUAAGUUGCAGACAUAAAAGGAGAAAGCGAAAAAACUGUCCUUUGCUUCGCAGCGCGAGCCUAUUCCCUGAACCGGGGGACCAGGUGGAACAGCCAACGCCCAACAUGAACGGAGCUGGGUACACGAUCCCAGGCUUGAUAGCUUUUAUUAGUAAUUUGAAUUUGGGAUGCAAAUUUUGGUUCCAUGCGCGCAAUUGGUAAAUGGUAACAUAUGGCCUUGUUGCGCGCACUCCAUCUAUUGUUUACAUGUGGGUUUAAUCAAAUCUAGUGUGUAAUGGAAAAAAUAAGGUGCUCUAGCUUUAGUUUCCUCACUAUUUUGCUAGCCGGCGUACUGGUGCGGCCUAAGGUAGUAAAAUAGUAUGAAACUGCUAAUUAUUUUCUUUGAACUAAAAAUUCUAGCGGAUUAUACACGGUUCUCCAAAUCUUACUCCCCAGGUACAUGCGGUGCUAUAUCUGCUUUAGAUUUGGAGGUGCAGGCCCGCAGUCCAUCACUGAAGUAAUGAAGCUACCAAUAAAUUGUGGAUGUAUUUUGAUAGGCAAAAAGUCUUCCGAAGUAUAUAUUGGCUCCUAGUUUCUCUUGCAACAUUUUGGCAAUCUCUACAAAGUAGUUAAUCUCAUCAUCAAGACAAUCUAUUGAUAUUACUAUGUUACUGCACUAAACGUGAUUUGACUGAGGUUAGUAACUUUUCAUUGAUUAAAAUAUGCCUUGCAUUCAUAAAUAGAGGGAGUAUCAUCUGAACCACAACUCCUAUUGUCUCCAGUUUGUUGGCCAUCACAUUCGAGUAAUAAAACUAUAUGUGUGUUAUUAGAAAAUAGUUCUGGUAACACUGAUGAAAAUUGCUGCAUCCUUGCAUAUUACUUUGAAAAUGCUAGUCAUACAUUGUAGAACCCAUAAUUCAUCUAUAAAGUAAAUGUUACGUCAGAUAUUAUACUCUAUCCAGCCCAAAUUAGUAUUAGCUGUUUUGAUUUUUCUAAAUUUAUAAAUUUUGUUAUGCACAACCGAAAUGAUUAAUAAUUUAGGAUAGAGGAGCCCUAUGUUCAUAUAUAAAGUACUUCAUUAAAAUGGCUAAGUUUAUUGCAUCAUGGUGCUACCACACUCUAAUUUUAUAUGUUAAGUACUACUACCCACUUUUUUAAUGGUUUUUAUUACCUUUUUUAUAUGAAAUACUCCCCAUUAACAUGGCUAAUGCACAUCAUUGCUGGAUUUACACGAUCAUAUGCACACUGAUCAGCCACCAAAUCUUUUUUUGGUGUAACAUAUCCACACUACAAUCACAAGUGCAGACCACUGCCUAGUGGUAAUCAACGCAGAGGCUGGGGCCAAAUUUUAUUAACCUCUCGGCUUGAAAAGCCACAGCUGAAUCCGCAAAACUCGCAAAUGCCCAGUUAAUUCGGAUCAACUACUAAAAAAAAUGCACUGCAAGUGAAAGUAAAGUGGAUAAAUUGAGCUUAAGAAAAGAAAGUGAUACAAAAAUAGGGAUGAAAAUUGCAACAGAAAAUCUCAAACUCAUUUUGCACCUACCAGAGCACGUUUGAAAUUGUUUUCAUAUAAAUAAUAUCAUCUCCAAUAACCAUAUUAAAUGAGUUUUUCAAUUUCUCUUAUUAGUUGCCACUGAUUAGUUUAAUACUAGUGAAACCGGCAAAAUUUCGGUUAAUCUUUUCUGUAUAAUAUCGUUACCGACCGUUUCCUAAAGAACAGAUUGCAAAGCGAGAAAAAACAGUAAUUCGAAGACAGCAGGUUAAUAAUAACACUAUUAUACCACCAACACUUAACCUACGCAGUUCGAUAAUCCACGGCACCAUAGCAUCUAGCCCCACGCAUUGCAGGCUAGGAGAAGUACCACACAAAACACACGGACAACUCAACUUUCAGGGAUAACCAGAACAGCUAAGCUAACUCAGACUCAAAAGUUGCACCCGGGCGCGCUUAGUCGACCUCCUCCAUCUUGCUCUCACCAGCGUCGUCCUCCAGAGGGGGCAUGUCGGUGUCAGCCUCCGGGGUCUCGUCCUCGUCGAUGCUCAGGCCCAGCUUGAGCAUGCGGUGGAUGCGGCUGCCGAAGGUGUUGGGGUCGUCAAGGCUGAAGCCAGAGGUGAGGAGCGCAGUCUCGAACAGCAGCAUGACAAGGUCCUUCACAGACUUGUCAUUCUUGUCAGCCUCAGCACGCUUGCGGAGCUCCUCCAUGAUGGCAUUCUCAGGGUUGAUCUCCAUGGUCUUCUUGGAGGACAUGUAUCCGGACAUGCUGGAGUCCCUCAGCGCCUGGGCCUUCAUGAUCCUCUCCAUGUUGGCAGUCCAGCCAUACUCGCCAGUGACCAGGCAGCAGGGGGAGUCCACCACACGGUCAGAGACCACCACCUUCUCAACCUUGUCACCCAGAACCUCCUUAAUCACCUUGCAGAGGCCCUCAAACUUCUCCUUGAGCUCCUCCUGUCUCUUCUUCUCAUCCUCAGUCUCAUCAAGCUUCAGGCCCUCCUUAGUGGCAGAGACGAGUUUCUUGCCCUCAAAUUCCUUCAGCUGGCCAAUGGCAUACUCAUCAAUUGCAUCCACCAUGUACAGGACUUCAUAGCCCUUCUUCUUCAGCUUCUCAAGGAAGGGGGAGUUCUCCACAGCCUUCUUGCUCUCACCAGUGAUGUAGUAGAUGUCGCUCUGGCCCUCCAUCAUCCUCGUCACAUAGUCCUUGAGGCUAGUCAGCUCAUCACCGCUCUUGGUGGAGUGGUACCUCAGGAGCUCAGCGAUCUUGGUCCUGUUCUGGGAGUCCUCGUGGAUGCCAAGCUUGAGGUUCUUGCAGAAGGCCUCGUAGAACUUGUUGUAGUCCUCCUUGUUCUCAGCAAUCUCGAAGAAGAGCUCAAUGCACUUCUUCACCAGGUUCUUGCGGAUGACCUUGAGGAUCUUGUUCUGCUGGAGGGUCUCACGGGAGAUGUUGAGGGGAAGGUCCUCAGAGUCAACGAUGCCCUUGACAAAGCUCAGCCACUCUGGGAUCAGCUCCUCACAGUUGUCCAUGAUGAAGACACGCCGCACAUAGAGCUUGAUGUUGUUCUGCUUCUUCCUGGUGUCGAAGAGGUCGAACGGGGCCCUCUUGGGUACAAAGAGGACAGCCUUGAACUCAAGCUGACCCUCAACAGAGAAGUGCUUCACGGCAAGAUGCUCCUCCCAGUCGUUUGUCAAGCUCUUGUAGAAAGCAGCGUACUCUUCCUUGGUGAUCUCCUCAGGCUUCCUCAUCCAGAUAGGUUUCUGCUUGUUGACCAAUUGCCACUCGUGAGAAACCUCCUUGAUCUUCUUCUUUUUCUUCUCUUUCUCUUCCUUCUCCUCAUCAACGUCCUCAACCUUGCCCUCCUCAUCCUUCUUAUCUUCCUCAUCCUCAUCAUCAGAAAUCUCCUUCUCAGUGGUCUUCUCAGUCCAGAGAGAGAUGGGGUAGCUGAUGAACUCAGAGUGCUUCUUGAUCAGAUCCUUGAGGCGUCGCUCCUCAAGGUACUCCAACUGCAGAAAAUAGAAGAAAAUUAUAAGAGAGUGUUCAAAAUGACGGAAUUUCUUUCAGAUAUUCAAACCUCAAAAAAUCCUAAAGGUUCAGUACAACAGCAAACUUAAUACAGUUAUUAUCAGUACAUCAACGUCUUGACAUAAUCCCAAAAUAAUGAUCAGAAUUUCAGUUACACUAUACUUAAAAAUAGCAUUCCAGAAGAACACAUGUUUAUCGCGCAGUCAUUCCAGAAAAAGAAACAGACUAUGAUUAAAAACUAGCAUGCUACAUUGUUCCUACCAAUCUGGGAAACACAUUAUCUAACAGCAAUAUCUCAAAUGAUCCUACAAGAUUGAACCAACUUCUAACCUCAUCCACAUUUACAGUCAGUUAACAAACCAAACAAAUCAUAGUUAUAUAUGGUUUCAAGUCAGCUCGCCGUAUCAUCAGCACAAACUAAUAUUGCAUAAUUGAACCAUGGCCAAAAAGCAUCAGCACUAUACAAAUAAUCCUAUAAAACAGUAAACAACUGGCUAUGGCAGCAUCACCAAUACUAAUUAACACACAGCAAGCACUAAUCCGGGAAGUUUCUGCUAUACCUGAUCAUCCUUGAGGUAGAGGGUCAUCUUGGUACCCCUGCCAAGGGGCUCCCCAGAGGUAUCACGUGUGACGGUGAAGGAGCCACCAGCCUGAGACUCCCACACGUACUGCUCAUCAUCGUUGUGCUUGGUGGUCACAACAACUCUCUCAGCAACAAGGUAGGCAGAGUAGAAACCAACUCCAAACUGACCGAUCAUAGACACAUCAGCACCAGCAGCCAGAGCCUCCAUGAACUCCUUUGUUCCUGACCGUGCAAUGGUACCAAG
rnacentral:lncRNA from 1 species